AACUCUCAACCCCACAGGUUUUGUAAUGAGACCUUGUGCGGGCUUGGAUCCUGAGCGUUGCAGGCGUAACAGCCGGCUCGUUCGAAAUGCAUUAGCGAUCACGCACUUGGCGUUGGUUUGACUUGAAGUGAUAGUAAACAUUUCCUUCAAGGACACUUCCCCUCAAAAGGACAGUGACCAGGCUUUGGGCCGGAACGCUCAUAAAACCCCUUUAUUCAUCAUG
rnacentral:misc_RNA from 1 species